rnacentral:rRNA from 1 species
CUGGCGGCGCGCCUAAUACAUGCAAGUCGAGCGAGAAGGUGUAGCAAUACACUUGUAAAGCGGCGAACGGGUGAGGAAUGCAUGGGUAACCUACCCUCGAGUGGGGAAUAACUAGCCGAAAGGUUAGCUAAUACCGCAUACGUUUCCGGAACUUCGGUUUCGGAAAGAAAGCAAUACCGUGGGUAUUGCGCUCAUGGAUGGGCUCAUGUCCUAUCAGCUUGUUGGUGAGGUAACGGCUCACCAAGGCUUCGACGGGUAGCUGGUCUGAGAGGACGAUCAGCCACACUGGCACUGCGACACGGGCCAGACUCCUACGGGAGGCAGCAGUAAGGAAUAUUGCGCAAUGGACGAAAGUCUGACGCAGCGACGCCGCGUGGGGGAUGAAGGUCUUCGGAUUGUAAACCCCUUUCGGGAGGGAAGAUGGAGUGGGUAACCACUUGGACGGUACCUCCAGAAGCAGCCACGGCUAACUUCGUG